UCAAAGAUUCGAACCUGCAGCAGGUUCGAGUUGAGCGUAGCGAAACAACGGAGCCGCUCGCGGCGACGGCCCGAAGGGCGAGCGAAGCGAGUCAUCCUGCACGACCCACCA
rnacentral:sRNA from 1 species